AAGAUGUCAAAUGAUCUAUAAUAGAUUUAUAAUUUAUUUUUAUUUUUAUAAUAAAUCUUAAGAAUAAAAUCUACAUUUUCUAGAAAUUUGAUAAAAAUUGAAUAAUUGAAUCAAGAAAUAUGAAUUUCUAAAAUUUGGAAAAAAAAUCCUUUAGUAGAGAAAAAUAUUUUGAAAAGAUUUUGCUAUAAUUUGGACAUUUUAUGCAAAAUAAAGGACUUUUUGGUAACCAAGACUUCAUAUACAUAUUAAAAAUAAAGAUUUGCAGCUGUAGCAAAAUUAUAGUAUAAAGUUGGAUUUUUAUAAAGAAAUUAUGGCUUUUCUUUGAGCAUAUUGAAAUCAAGCUUAUCUACAAAUGAUUUAGUUAUAAUUGAAUAUAGCAAAGGAUAUUAGGGCAUUUCUAAAUGGCUUAGAAAGCCUCAUGAAUAAAGCUUUUUAAAUAUAAAAAUAAUUUUAUCAAUAGAAUAUCUUUUGAUACUAUUAUUUGGCCUCUAUAAUAAAAAUACAUCAUUUAUUGAAACUUGCCUAAUAAGUAAAAACUAAAUUCUCUAUAGCUAGGUAUCUAAUGUAUUUUCAAAUAAAAAAUCACGCCAUACGAUAGCAAGUGAAGUAAUAGUUAUGAUCUUGAGACUUCAAGAGGAGAAUGCAAUUGUCUAAAUGGAAGCUCUGGAAUUUCAGCAAAUAGUAAUGGAGAAGGCCAUGGAUUAUCAAGAUGCCAUUGACAUUUUAUUAGAAAUUUGUACAAAACUCGAAGAUGACAAAAUUGCAUUAACAAGAAGAAUUUAAAUUGUUCAAAGCGAAAUUAAACACUGCAUUGAUAGAAGAAAGGAAUUAUGCUAAAAAAAGUGGAAAGGAAUUAUGUCUCAAUGCUAUUAUUAGAAAAAUAUCUUACAGAUGUAAAAUUAACUUCUUCAAAAUCUGAACAAGCAAAUCUUCUUAGCAAGAAAUGAUGUUUUGUAACUCUUUCAUGCACUUGAUGCCCCAACAAGAUGAUGAAGCUCAAGCCUGAAGGUUGACUUAGGAUAUAUUAAGAUGAUGAAGCCCAAGCAUGAAGGUCAACUUAAGACACAUUAAGAAAAUGAAGCUCAAGUAUAAAGGUCAACUUAGGACACAUCAAGAUAGUAAAGUCCAAGCAUGAAGGUCAACUUUAAGUACAUUAAGAUGAUGAAGCCAAAGAGGACCAACUGUACUUACAUGGAAUCCCUAACCACCUCACUAUGCAUGAAGGGUGUCACCUAAAACGGAUGACAAGACUGGAACUAUCUAAUACUAAACAAUAAGCAAGAAAACAUUGAAGGCACAACAUUUGUGUUGCAUAUGUAAUAUUAAAAUACUAAUAGAAUCCAAGGAUUUUUAUUGGAUUAGAGAUAACUUAUCAUACUCCAAGAUGUUUUUGCUGUUAUCAAAACUUUGAGGGAUACAUUUGCUAUUAUCAAUGAUGUAGGAAUAUUCUUGAUAUUUCAACAUAUUUGAGAGGUACAUCUGAUGUUUUUUUCUUAAAUUUUUUUUUUGUAUAAUUGUGUCUAAGAAUCUUGCUUAUAAUUACUUCUAUUUAAUUUUUAUUUUUUUAUUUUUGAUUAUUUUUGUUAAUCUAAAUAAUAUAGAUAAUUAUGAUAUUAUAUAUCAUAGAUGUUGGUUUUAAUCAUUUCUAAUUUAGUUAUAAAAAAGAACUAUUGUUCUUUCAAUCUUAAAAUAGAAAAAUUAAAAAAAAAACAAAAAUCAAUUUCUAUGUAUAUAUAUAUAUAUACAUAUAUUAUCAAUUAAUAAUUAUUAUAUAAUAUUUAAUAUUUUUUAAAUUAAAUUUUAUAAUUUUUAAUAAAAUUAUUAGAAAUUUUAUUUCUUAAGUAUAUAUAUAUAUAUAUAUAUAUAUAUAUAUAUAUUCUUAAAAAUAUUUUUGUAGCCAUAUUAAUUUACUUUAUUUUAAUUUUUUUUCUUUACUAGUGAUAUUUUUUUAUAUAUUCUAAAUUUUCUUUUUAAUAUUCUUUUAUUACUUAUUAGCUUUUUAGUAAUCUUUUUUUUAAUAAGAAUGCUUUUACCAAAAUGUCUUUUUUUUUAGCUCUCAAAAAAAUUAUAUAUGGUUUUCUUGCAAUCACUACUUUUUAUAAGUUUUGUAUUUAUUUAAAAAAUUUAAUAUAAAAAACAUAUUUAAUCUACUAAAUAAAUAUUAAUUUUAAUAAUAAAUAUAGUAAAUAUAUUUUUUUAAUUAUUUAUAUAAAUUCAAAAAAUUCUUAGAUAUUUUAUGUUUUUAUAUUUUAUUUUAUACUAAAUUUAUGUAUAUGUAUAUCUUAUAUUUUAGAAAAAAAUUAAUUAAAUAAUUUAUGUAAAAUUUAAAAGCUUCUAUUAUUAAUUGUCUUGUGUACAUAAAAAAAUCAAAAGCAUAAUGAUUUUUUUGUUAAUAAUAAAGUAAAAACCAUUGUUAAGACAAUUACAUUAAAAAAUUAUGAUAUUUGUAAAAAAAAAAAAAUUUUAACUUCUGUAAAAAAAUCUAAAAGUUAAAACCUCAAAUUUCUAAACCUUAAUAUAUUAUCUUAAAUCAUUUUAUAGAAUUUGCAUGUUAUUUUUGUAAGGUGUCAUACAAUGCAAUUUUUUCAAGAACUAAAUUGCUCAGUUUUAUCUAAAUUUGUCUAAUUACUGUAAAUUUAUGAUGAAAAUAUAUUAUUAAAUGCAAUGUUAUAGUAAAAAAGAAAAUUUAGAAGAUUUAAUAUUAUCAUUGAUUCUAUAAUUUAAUAUUAUAGUUAAUUAUAUUAUAAUAUUAAAUAAAUUUAAAAAAUAUAUAAGAUUCAAUUUUGAUAGAAUUCAAAUAUUAAAUAAUAUUUAUAUAUUGUAUCAAAUCCAAUUAUUUAUUAAUUACUAUUCUUUUGAAAACCAAUUUUUACUACUCAAUAUUUAAAAUGUCAACAACAUUCUAGAUACUAUUUCUCUUAUGGCAAUAAUGCUUUAUAAAUAUAUUAUUGGAAAUCUCUGAUAUUCAAUAACAUAUUUGUAACUUCAGUUUUUCAAUUUAUUAAUUAGGUCAAUUUAUAUUACAUCACAAGCCAACUUAUUAAAAAAAAUUAUGUACAUUCUUUGUUAUUGUAAAAAAUAAAAAUUGUUUCAGACAUUUUUUUGGUUAAAAUCCUUUAAUUACCUUCGAUUUACAACUUUACGGUUUAAAAAAAUCUAAACUAGACAAGAAAUUUAAAUCCUUAUUAUGUUAUAUUUAAUAUGAAAUUACUUACAUAAGUUGUAAUAAAGAAGCAAGUAUUAGAUGCUUUGCUAAACAAUACUACAAAGUAUAUUGCCAUCAUUACAACAAAUAAUUAGAAAAAUAAUAUGAUUGCAAUCAGAUUCAAGAAAUGUUUCUAAUAAAGUAAUUCACUUUGUGACAUGUUUCAUUCUCAUGUAUUUUUAGAUAUUACAUCAAAACCAAAAUCAUUAAUACAAUACAUGAUUUCUACAAAGUCGAAUUCAGUUAAUUUAAUUCAAAGAUAUAUAUAAGAGACUCAAGUUGAAAUAUGAUUCUACUAAUGAUAUGAAUAGGAGUAAUUCUGACAAAGUUUUCACUGAAAAGUAAGCAUCGCAAAU
rnacentral:lncRNA from 1 species